GACAAACGCUGGCGGCGUGCCUAACACAUGCAAGUCGAACGCCCUGCGCAAGCAGGGAGUGGCGGACGGGUGAGUACCACGUGGGGACCUACCUUGGGGUGAGGAAUACCAUCGGGAAACCGGUGACAAUACCGCAUACGCUUCUCACGAAGCAAAGUCGUAAGACGCCCGAAGACGGCCCUGCGCCCGAUUAGUUGGUUGGUGAGGUAACGGCUCACCAAGACUGCGAUCGGUAGCUGGUCUGAGAGGAUGAUCAGCCACACUGGGAUUGAGAACG
rnacentral:rRNA from 1 species